GAUCUUCCUUGCUCUGAAGCUGCCUCUAUAAAGAUUUUUGAAUUGAACUAUGUGUUUUAGACUUUUUUUAUAAUCAUAGAUUCCUCUGUAAAAUAUUUUGAAAUCAGAUUAGAAUUUAACAUAAAAAUAGUCAAAUCAAAACAUUACAGUUUUCUUGAAGUCAUGCAGUGAGCAUAAAAUUAAAAGGGAAAUAGUCUCUUGUUAUAGGAUCAGAGAGAAGCAAAGCAGCACAUUUAAACUCUAAGUGUAUUUGGAACAUCAUUAUUUGACCAGGAGAGUUCAUCAUAAGGGUAUUAUAUAGGCAAUCAUGAAGUUAAGCACUCAUAGCUGGGAUUAGGUGGCACCAUUUUGAUAUCUCAUCCUGAUUUUUGCAAUAUUAGAGGGAAGUGAAAGGAGUUUUUACUAACCUCUUAGAUCUAAUACAAAAUGAGCAUCAAAAGCUUCCUUGUAGCAGCAUGUGUGAAAGGAAGAUGAUGUUACUGGCACCUCUUUCAGGAUCUUUUAAGAAAGAAUAUUUUUUGCUGAAAGGGAGACUGUGGUCUGUCUGCAAGACCUUUUUAUACUCAUAGAAGGUAUUAUCACAGUUGUUCCUGAAUUGAACAAGUAGAGACCUCUUCUGUUUUGCAAGAACACUAUGCUUUACUGACCAGAGAUUGGAUAAUUCAUCAACAGAGAAUAAGCAAUCAAGAAUUUAUAUAUUGGAUUGAAAGUAUCUAACUUCACAAUCAGCUAUGUGACUCCAAGAAGCCACUUGGCUUGCUCCAAAUUUUGCUCCACUUAAUAAGGCUGCAUAUGAAUCCCUUCUACAGGAAAGGUUUGAGAUUUAGUUUGUUGGGCAAGAUAACAUCUGGAAGGCCAUAUCAGCCCUAUGAUCUUGUGAUUUAAUAUUGAUGAAGCAAACACCAAAUUAUUGGCCUACCUGGGGAAAUUGUAAUCGAAGAGAACUGAUGGCACCUGAUCAGAUUGUAUUAAUUAGGUUCACAGUUUUAAAAUUGCUCAUGAAAUGAGAGACCUUUCCUAAUUUAGUAUUAUA